UGCACCUGUUAAAAUUUCUACCUCAUGACGAAUGAUACCAUUUCAAACUUUUAUAUUAUGGGUAUUAAAAAUAACAAUAACAAUAAUAAUAUAUAUAUAUAAUACCAAGUAUCCUGUUUAUACUUUUUUUUUUUUUUUUUUUUAGACAAGAUUUCUGUAGGAUCUUGUGGGCAUGGAGGUCCCUCUCUCCACCUCUUCUCUCAUCAGCUUUUCACUUUCUCACCACUCUGUUUUUGUGAGGAGACUGGGACUUGUUCCCAAGGAUGUCUGCCAUGCAGCUGAGAUGGUAGCAUAGAGUGGGACUAGGGUUAUCAGAACCUAUCUUCUGCCCAUCUUUGUUGAGAUGCAGUGCUGCCUGUCCCCAUAAAGCACUCUCUCUUACCCAAGGCCAAAGCAGGUCUACAUGACUCCACAUGUUCACGGCUCUGUUUGAAGACUGUGAUGAAGAAAUGGGAGGUGUGAUAGAAGAGGAGGAGUACAGCUUGUCUUUCCCCUGACCUCCCAUCUGCUGAACUGAGGAAGCCAGCUCAAGGAAGCAGAGUAGCAGGGGCCAAAUAAGACCCAUGGGAAAUUCAGGCUGUUAUGCUCUGUGAACAAGACCGGCCUACUCUAGAGGAAGCUAGCUUUGAGCCAUGUGGACAUAAGGCACUUUGCAUGACUUUGCUUUCAGGCCAUGGAUUGCUCUCUGGGAUUCACUAUUAAAUCCAUUCAAAAGGAAGAGAUUUUCAUUUCAAAGCUCUGGAUUUUCCAGGAGAAAUGUAUCUAUAUGUUUCCAGGAAGCAAUGGUCUUGCUGUGCCUGAGCUAUACAGAUUGCCUGACUGUGCACAGAAAAUCAGAUGCAUUGACCUGCC
rnacentral:lncRNA from 1 species